GGGCGUGUGCGGGCGGCCGAGCGUUGGGCAAGCGCGCGGGCAGCCACAAAGGCGGCGGGCAUGCGCAGGCAAGGGAGCGCGCUUGUGCAAGCAGGCGGACACGCGGGCUCGUCGCUCGCGCUCAGGCGGCGGGCGAUUCAGUUUCGACGAUUCGGCAGCGGCAGCAGUGACGUGCGGCAUCCUCUCAGGCACGAGGAGAUGGCACUAUGGAAGUGAUGUGAUGUUCAAGUGGUUAGCUUGGUGUCACGCAGAAUUGAGAGAAGAGAGGAGCAGGAGCAAUUGUGGCAGAUUUAUUCUGCCAACUAUUUAUGUUGGACAUCUGCUAGGAGUAUAUUGGAUUUUCUGUAUAUUCGGGUAUAUGUGCUCUAAACUAAUCUAGAAUUUUUGAGGUCUGUGCAUACUACAACUCAAAUUUGGCUUUAAAUCCAUCAGAAACUUGGUUCUACUAUUGUACGCCACAGGAGAGAAUUAAACGGUAAUGGAC
rnacentral:lncRNA from 1 species